rnacentral:lncRNA from 1 species
UAGCUCAGUGGUGCUGCCACCUGCCUACGCAAGUGCAAAGUCCUGAGUUUGAUCCCUGGUACAAAAAACAAAAUCCUAGUCAGUCAUCUGCUUCAUUGUGGGCACUUAAUCCUCUAGAACUUGUGAGGGAUUCUAGUGAACCCCUAAGUCAUUAAGAUGUGUUGAGGUCUGUUAAUAAGUAAAGAGAAAGAAGUCUAGGUCUUGUUGCUAAAAAUCUCAAUGUGUGAAAGAAUUUGCCAUUAUCUUUCUAUCCUAUCUUGUAAUACUUAUUUAUAUCAUGUUUUUCUUUCCUUUUUUCUUUUCUUCCUCCCUCCCUUCCCUGUUAUCUAGCUCUCUUUUCUUUUUCCCUCUCUUUCUUAUUGAACCCCCGGGCCUCAUGCAUGUUAAGUACACAUUCAACCACUGAGCCACAUCCCCAGCUUGUGUCAUGAUUUUAUUUUCAAGCCUGUCAAGUGUUGAAAGGAAUUCUCAUACAAUUCUGGACCUCAGUCUUCUUGUGGGAUAGCUUAUCAUAUUGGGAGCCACUUAUUCUACACCAGUUAACCUCAUGCUUCUUUAUUUAUGGUGAAAUUUGGCAAAAUUCUUAUUUUUCUACUUAAAUUGGGCUUGUAUAUGUUUUGCUUGAAUCAAGUCCUUUUAUUCCUUUUUUUGGUACCCAGGAUCGAACUUGGGUCCUUGUGCUUGCGCAGCAGGUGGUGAAACCACUGAGCUAAAUCCCAGGCCCAAGUCCUUUUAUUCUUUUUAAAAAGUUGUGGAAAAAUAUACAUCAUUUAAAAUUUACUACGAUAACCAUUUUAAUAUAGGUACAGUUCAGUUACAAUACAGUCAUAGUACUGUAGCCAUCACUGUCAGUUUCCAGAACAUUUUAUCACCCCAGAAGGAAGCCCUGUACCCAUUAAACAAUCACCUCCAUUCCCUUUCUCUCCUUAGUUUCUAGCAAACACUAGUUGACUUUAUGAUUUUAUGUAUUAAAUUCUACUUGGACAUUUCAUAAAAUAGAGUUAUAUAGUAUGUGGCUUCUGGUUCGGCUUCUUUCACUUAGUAUAAAGUUUUCAAGGUUCAUCUUUAUUCCUUUUAAAAAUGGCUGAAUAAUAUUGUCAUGUUCAUCUGUCACAUUUUGUUUUUCCAUCCAUCAACUGAUGGACAUUUGGAUUGUUCACUCAGCUAUCGUGAUAAUGCUGCCAGAAACAUUAAUGUACAAACCAUUGUUGGCACAACUGUUUUCAAUUCUUGUGGAUAUGUACAAAGGAAUGGAAUCACAGGGGUCAUGUUACAACUCUGUUUUACUUAUUAAGGAAGUACCAAACUGUUUUCACAGCACCUGCACCGUUUACAUUCCCAACAGCCAUAUAUAAGGAUUUCAGUCAUUCCACAUCUUUGCCAACACUUUCUUUCUUGAAUCUGAAGUAUGCACACAUUUUGGGGUGGUAAUAAUGGAAGGGAAGAUUAAAGCUGUUUCUUGGAUCAUACUUGAUUUUCCUGAAGAGGCUUACUAUAUGGUAGAUCUGGAAGUGCAGUUAUCUUCUUUUGUUUUUCAUAGAAAAGACUUCAUUUUUAAAUGCUUACUUGAACAGUCACUUGCUUCUUCUGACCUCUCCCUGACAUCCCAGGUUCCGAGUGGUUGCUCGAAGCAUGGCUGCCUUCCUUUCAGUGCAGGUUCUUACAGAAGACCAGAUCCGUUUGAAGCCUGGCCCUGAAUUACAUCUUAGCCCAAAAGCUCAGCAGGCUCUGGCUGCUCUUGAGUCCAUAACACUGAGUAAGCAGUAUAUUGAAUACCAGGAUCAGAUAUUGCAAGCUGCCCAGUUUAUAAAGCAUCCGGACAUUGUCUCCAAGAUGGGAAAAGCUUCCUGGCUCUUCUCGUUAAUGGUCUCUAUCCUGAAGUGCAUUAUUUGGAUAACAUACGAUAGUAACACUAAGGCUCCUGAAAAACCUCAUUGUUGUUUAUGUUUACAUUUAACUUUGCUUUGCAAAAGUAAUUGCUCAGUUUCACUGCAGAGCCCAGUUCAACCGAGAAGUAGUUGACUGGGAGCCAUUAGCUAGUUCUUGGGUGUGUGAGUAUGUAUGCUUGCAUGCAUGUGUGUAAGUUCUUAUCUCUUAAAACUUUCUGGGGGCUUUUUAAUUAUGUUCAUCACAAAUAGUUCCACUUGGGUACCGAACCACUAACAGUUGGUGAAUGUCCCAGUCACCUCACAAGGCCCCCAGAUAGAGUUCUUUAUAUGUCUCCACUUCUCUCUCCCAUUUUAUUUAAAUGUCAGGACUCCUGUGCCAGAUAUGACUGCUUUGGGAGUCAUAUAGAGCCCUUUGUUUUGAACCCCAUUUAUAUUCUUCCAGUGUAAAAAAGUCAACUUUGAGAAUUUCUGCAUCUCUCAAAUGUGAGGAGAUACACCAUCUUAAAAGUAUGUUAUUUCUCUCAGAAGGGAUAUAAAGAUGCUGAAUUAGUGAAAGUGAGGCAUGUGCAAAGCAUGGCCACUUACUCUUGAUUAUAGUGGACAGCAGAGAUGGUGACAUGCCUGCUUCCAUUAGCCGUGUAUGCCCCUGGAGGAGCCCCUGUUGGACCUGGGUGACGAGGCUGGUGCUCUGUGAUGACCAUGUUGUGCACACGUGUUUUAUUUAGUCCACGGGAUGGGGAGUGCAGACUGGGCUGACUCCUUCCAGCUACCAGGUCCCUCCAUUCCCUUGGGUUCCCCUGUUUAUAUUGCUUCCUUGGCCCUGUUGAUGUUGAAGUCGCAACCCAUGACAGACACCAGGUUUGCAAUUUGAAUGCCCCGUGGUCAAGAAGGAAACUGGGGACUUAGUUCUCUAUUGCCUGCUUGUUUCUUCCCUCCACGUUUAAACUCAAAUGAAGCUUGAGGACCUGCUGAAAUACUUGUCCUGGAAACUGGGCCAGGUUGGGAGAAUUUCUAAAAUUUACCUAUUUUGAAUAGCCAUGUGCCUUCUGUCUCUUUUAACCAUUCAUUAUCACAACUUGCCUACAACUUUGCAUUGUUCUUUUGAUAUCUUCUUGCUCAUAUUAUUUCCCCUGGGAAUUAGCAAUUUGCCUUCUGUCAACAUAUUUGUAAUUCUGUCAACUCAAAAUGGAUUUUUUGUUGUUGUUGUUCAGCUUAGAUAAUGUGUCUUUGUUUAUGAUUUGUCUUUAGCCCAAGAAUAUUUACCUAAAAAUAUCUAAUGGGUCACCAACAUCUCUUAGAGAGAGAUAGGAACAUAGUUAACAAGAUGCUACUCUCUUCCCACAUGUCCUUUCAGAGUACUUCCCCUCACAUUUGGAAGUUCGUAGGAACUCUUCUUUAUUGGACAGAACAGUUCUGCCUUGGAGCUCUGACAAAGAACAUCUCUGUUCAGUGUCCGACUUUUGUAGGCCACGGGGAGUCAUCUCACAGGAACACAUCUUAUCUUCCCUUAUUUUUGUUUCUCUCCCUUUUCAAAUCAAUCAUCUUCUCCUCCUAUACAUCAGAAAAUUUUAGAAGCUGUGGACAGUUUAAUUGGCUGAUUUGGCAGCAGUAUUUUAGGACAGGAAAUACGUGCUGUUUUCUUUGAGGAGGAUGAAAUUAUUGAUAUCCUAGAAUGUGAAAUGUUUGAGUGAAGUAUGCACAUUUUAAAGAUAAUUAUGAUUAAUCUUAAUUUUUGAAAGUUUAUAAUAUUUAUAAGGUACUUGAUAUAUAAAAAUUAUUAAAAAUAAAAUCAAUCUUUGGUUGUGAUGGAUUCAGAUCUGAAUUACAGUAAUACCACAUGAACUUGGGAAGUGUUCCUGUUAAGGUUGAUGUUGAUUUUAUGCCUGAUGUCAUCUGAUUUAUUUCGACAUUAUAACUUUGUUUUCAGAGAGGGUCAAUAAAAGUGCUUACUCUUUACUGCUUCACAUCUAACAUAGGAUUAGCAGGGUUAUUAGUCCUAGGUUCCUGGGCUAAGAACGGGCUUUCCAGACACUAGGCUAGUUGGGAGCAUGGAAGCCUCCAGAGAGGAAGGCUGCAGGCAGGCCAUCCUGCCCAUUGCUCGCCUGGGAAUGCGCCUUUGCUUAAAAAGACUGUAAACCUCCGGAGAGCACAGGGCCACACUUUCAGAGGCAGUGACUGGUGCUGCAUGUGGAUAUUGGGAUGAAGCAAGACCAAGGCCUGCUUAUGGGCUGAAUGGUGUAGAAGGCAGACCAUUGCAUGCUCAAUUCCUACACUGUGGCCAGCAGUGUCUAAUACUUUCUGGGAGAAAGACAAGGCAGGUCCCAGUGAAAAGUGCCUCUUCCCCAUUCAUCGUAGCUCAUCCUGCAGUAGAAACAUGAGGUAGAGAAGUGGCUUGGAUCCCCCCCAUUUCCUUGCUCCACUCUUGAUUAGAACAGUGAAACACCCUGGACAAUACAGGGUGUUAAUGCAGAGAGGUCCUGCCACAUUACUGCACAGUGUGACAGUAGCAGGUGGAACAGGGGCCCAUAGUCCUGCACACUUGCUCUCAGCUCCCCACAUGGCUGGUUUCUCAGUUUCAUGAUCAGUGUGUUGGCUCAGCCACUAAAUGCCUCCACUUUAUCAAGGUUAUGUCUAAGUCUCUCUGUUCUUUUAUAUGGAGGAAAUCUAGUGCAGAAAAUACAACCCUCAACCUCACCCUAGCCUAACUUUCCAUGUUCCUCAUGAGUAAUCACUAAAACCAACGUGCCUGUGUCUUACAAGUUAAGCUUGUCUGUGCCCUUCUUCUACUUGAAUGAAGGUGAUAGACUUCAUUUCAUUGAAUUUUUUCUUCCCAAAACUGCCUUUUCUGGAACAGGAAGCAAAUGUUUUGGGAUCACAGACAUGGAAAGUGAGAGAAGGCAGUAAAUACUCCCUAGGCUCACCCUUCUCUCAGUGGGAAUCCUCAGUCUCCCCUCCAUUGGCCAAUGUCCUGCGCUCAUAGUCCUGCUUAUACCAAGCCAAGAUGUCUCCUUGUAAUGUUCCCUUAUUGGUUGUGGAUCUUCCUGGAAACAUUCCAAAUAGGGACUGUUCUUGUGCUCCCCUCUCAAUAGACAUUUCUCUUCUGGUCACAUCUCUGACCCCACUGACCCCCAACCUUUAGUCCUUUCCAGGCUAAAUGCCCCAAACUCAUUAGUUGUUUUCCGCCUGAUGUUCACUUUUCCAUGGGGAAAAAUGCCCAAAUCCCUCUAUGUUACUGUGCCCAGGAGUAGCAACGUCAGACCUAGGACCAAAGAAGCAUAGAGGGUAAAAAUUUUGAGUCAUCAUUUGUAGAUGCCAAGAGUGCUUUGUGGUCUUUUCGAAAAGCCUUUGUUGUCUUGAUUGCCUUAUCCUGGUUCCUGUCCUGGCAUUAGUCACACUUGUGUGGGCCCAGCAGUGCUGUUUAUUUACGUCUCUGAACACAGGUAGUAUCAGCUCUGACAGUUGCAGUGUUAAACUGUGGUAAGUCCAAACUCCAGACCUGGGGCUACCACCUGCUGGUCACCUUGCAUGUUUGCAUAAGGAGUAGGCAUUCGCUCUGCAUCUAAAUCUUUUACUGCUGUCUGCUCUUCAUUGUGGGCCAAUUUUACAGCUUAUUUUGAUUUAGUAGCUGAUUGUUUUUCUGCUCAAUUUUCUUGUCUUAUUAAGCAAAAUGGAGAAUACAGUGGGAAAUUAGUGUGUUGCUUUACAAGAAAAACUCCCCUUCUGUGAUCUUCCAUUUGUGUCUAGAUCGAGCUGGGUAAAGCUCUCAACUUUAAGAGAGGGGCACUGGUCCUCACUUUGUUCUGCUCUACAGUGAUGAUGUGUUCUAGAGCAGGCUCAGGCAUCCUGUGGUCUAGAACAUUUCCUUCACUCUGGAUGGGUUCCUGAUUUCUGAUGAGAAUAACCUGAAAAAAAUUAAGCUACUGAUCUUAUUUUGGGAUAAUGAAUUUGCUAAGAAAUUUUGUUAGUUAUAACUUACUUUUUAAGUGUACCAAUGUAAUAUCUUUCACUUGAGCACUGAGAAUUCUUUUAGGGAUUUAAAAACCACUCUGUUGGAGAUAAGUACUUUAGUGUAUUCAACUCUUCCUUCCCACUUGUCUAACAUGACCUUUAAAAAUCCACAGUGUUAGCCAGGUGUGGUGGCUCAUGCCUAUAAUCACAGCUGUCAGGAGGCUGAGGCAGGAGGAUUGCCACAUGUUCAAGACCAGCCUGAACUCCAUAGUGAGACCCUGUCUCAAAAACAAAACAAAACAAAAAAACUCCACAGUUUUAUUUUGGUCAUUAAAUGUGCAAUAUUUACUUUUUCCUUUCUCAACAUUUUACAUGCUUAUACAAAGAAUGAAUUUUUAUAUAAUAGUGAGAAACAGGAAGAAAUGAGAAUUGGUUAAAAUUCUGAAAAUAAACCACAUUCUAAUUUAAUUUACCCAUGGUGGGCCUUUCUCAUUGUUUUGGGCAAGUUGGUUGGCAGGUCUUUUCAUAUAUAAAUCACACUAAGAAAAAUUUUAAAUUAGGAAGUUUGUGAUGGGCAAAAUCUUUUGUAAUAUCUACCACAAUGGUAAGGCCGCUCAUUUCAAAGAGAAUUUAUAAUUGGGGGUUAGGAGCCCAUUGGAGAGAUCAGGAGAGCCCCUCACGUUACCCAAUGUGGCUCUGCCGAGGGGCCCAGUUUAGAGCUGCACAAAGCGGGGUGGGAGUGGGGAGGGGGUGCUGUAGGUGGGCAGAGCUGCCAGCAGAGGGCAGUGUCCCUGUUCACGGCCUGCUCUGCAAAAUCUGCCUGCAGUGUUGGUGUGCCAGGGAGUUUCUUAGUAUUAAUUUUCAUGAACAUCUACAAGACACCUUAAAUGGGACAAGGAAUACUGGGAGAGUCUGCACAUUCCAUUUGGGAUUAAUAUCAAUUCUAGAGUCCCCGGGCGGCCUUCUGGUUGUAGGAUGUGUCUCCCUCUGUCCCUCUGGGUGUGGCUUCUUUUUCCAGAUAAAACCACAGGUUUAAGGGUUGGGGAGUGGCUGGUGAGCAGACUUGUGUUCCUGGGGUGCUAGGUCAGGAAAGUGGAGAGCUUCAACCCUGUGCCCCGUACCGUGUUGAGAAGUCUGAUUUUGAAAACACCAAGUUGUCUAGGCCAUUUCUUUCCUUGAUUCCCUGGCCUUCAGGAAAGUUGGUGCAACUGUGAUGGCUCAGGGUGUUGAUUGUGUCUCUGGCCUUUCUUGCCAGCAGUAGAAUCUGAGUGCUUCGAGAGGGCAGAUGGGGGUGGGCAGGCGGCUGUGUUCCACCCAGAUAUCUCACAGGGACAGCCCAGGUUGAGUGCUGCCCCUUAGCGUCCCUCACCCCUGCCCCUUGGAGCAGCUGCUUUAUCUGGAGGCCAAGCGGGAGGCUCCAUGUGCACAAGGUGCACACUGUUAAAGGAGGGACACCUGUCCCUCAGCGUACUCCCACAGCCCAUCACUGCCUGAACUGCUGCAUCAGAGGCCUUCGAGAGCAUGGUGCUUCUGCUCCCAAGUAGCCCAACUGCUAAGAGCAAAUCCUGCAGGAAGGACUGCCGUAUCGUUAGCCAGUACCCCUGUACUUAGGCACCAUGAAACAAACGUCAGGCCUGUCAUGGAGUGAGCCUCAAAUUUCUGCUUGCCCAAGAACCAUCCAGACUCCAAAAGGAUCCUGGUUAGAAGCAACAAGCUAAAGAGGAUAUUUGGAGGACAACUGGGAGAAAUUUGGAUGUGGACUGUAAGGUGGUGUUAUGGCUUGUGUCUAGAUGUUUCCCCAAAGUCUCAUGCAAUCCUAGAUGGGGCAUUUCCACAGGUGGCUGAACUAGAAUGUGUGAUGCUAAGAUUAAGGGUAUGUGAUGACUAAGUCCACUGAUUGAUUUUUCCAACCCUAAGCCCAGUAGCCUAGUUAGAAUGUAAAAGGGGCACAAAGAAGCUGUUGUUGCUUGUAAUUUGGUGCCUUCUGUCUUCUGCCCACCAUGAACUGUUUCUCUUCUGCAAUGCCUCCCUGCCAUGCCACCAUGCCUUGGUGCCAGCUGAUCAUGGACUGAAACUUCUACAAACUGUGAACUGAAUAAACCUUUCCUCCCUUAACUUGUGGGUGUUGGGUAUUUUGUCUCAGCAAUGAGAAAAGUAACUGAGGCAGGUGGUAUUGCUGAAUUACUGUUGAUUUUCCCAAGCAUGGUGAUAGUAUGGAGGAGAACGUUUUUGUUCUUUGGAGGUGUUUAGAGUGAAGUACUGCAGUGUCAGAGCUUACAGAUGAUUUACACACACACACGCACACACACGCGCACACAGCACAUAGUGAGAAAUGAGUGGUGAAUAGAGUGCUGGGCACAUGGGUAAUCAUCUUACUUUUUCAUCUUUUUUAGUGUGUGUUUAAAAAUGACCACAGUAAAAGUGAAGGCAAAGUCACCUAAAGAACUUGCUUAUAAUUCCAGCCUCCCUCUCCAAGCUUGUGGUUCAGUGAAUCCAAGUGGUGCUCGGAAUGAGCAUUCGGACAAGCUCCCCAAGUGUUCCUGACCAGGUGCCCCUUGGAACUUACUGCAAGACACUGCUCCAAGAGCCCUGGCCGCAGCCCAGAGCAUCCUGGCUCUGAAGAGGGCAGUGGUUGCAUGUGUGAAAGAAGACUGCUAAGUAGCACAUGCAGGCCAGCAGCGCCCUGCACCCAGCAUAGGGUAUGUUACUGCUCCAGCUUUGGCCUCACCCUACCUCUACCCUCCUGCUCUGGCAACUUCUGGCUAUGCUGCAUCUGACUGUCUGUCCCUUUGCUUAGAAUGCCUUCCUUUCUUACCUCCCAACCUCUACUCUCCCCUUGGCCUUCUCUGUUUACAUAACUGACAUGUACUUUCCAUGAAUCUUCUUCCAGGAAGCCUCCCCAAGACGGGAAGUUACCCCCAGAUACCUCUACCCACACAUGAUUUUCCAUUUACCAUAUCACUCACUUGAGAGCUUCUGAAAGGUCUCCAGUGUGGAGCCACCAGUACUGUUCCCAAAUGUCCCUAGUGUUCCCUUUCUGAAUACCAUGUG